AAGCAGAAACUUGAAGAUGGUUCUAGGGGUUGGAGGUUCAGGCCUCAGCGUUCAUGAAAAUGCCAACUUGGUUGAAAAAAAGACUCGUCGAGCCUGAAAUGGUGGCCAGAGCGGAGUGCCUUGACAUGAUUGUGAACACGCCUACAUUUGAUUACGGUAGAGGAAAAAGGGAAGGAGGAGACCCAAGUACAAUCUGUGAAUCCUGAGGUUGGGCCUCUGAGAUGACAAGGGCAGGACUCAAGAAGCCAAGGAAAGAAGUGAGGACAGGACUGCACUCAGCACGGCGCAGACACACGGCCUCCCCGCCCGACUCCAACAGAAACAGCCCACAAAAAGGCACUUUCAUCACGGUAAAUGACAGUUCCUGGGCUGGAGGAAAGCAUUUGUUUCACAGUCUCUGCCGUAACAAAAUGACUAUAUAUGCAUGCCAGCCAUGCAGCAGGGAACAGGCACAGUCAGACAGAACCUCUCUUUGUGACGGGGCCUGGAGUGAUGUGAUCUCAGCUCAACCACGCCGUCAGCAGCACCCCACACACACAGCACACAGCCAUCCAGCUGCCAAGCAAACCCAAUGGCAGACUCCACAGCAAGUGGGAAGAGACUUCUCAUCUUCCAAGAGGGGGAGAUGAGGGGACAUUUAGUGAGAACACUCCUUGUCUGGUUGCGGACUUCAGAAGCCAGAAGUUAAGUGUUUUGUCCUGGAUUUUGCUAGUUCUGCAUCUAGGUCCUACCAGAACAGAAGAGUUAGUUCCAUUGUCAGGUAAGAAUUGGGGGGAUGUAAUCAGACCUACACGUCACUGUUCCGAAGGAGGCUGCCGCACCUCCUACCAACUCUCCAGAGAAAAUGUACUUAGUACACUAGAAAAAAAUGACCUGUUUGGAUAGUACAUAAAAGUUCAUACAGGAAGAAGAUGCAAGAGACACAAACACAUGGGUACAGCAGUCCAGACAAGAAGAGGCCCCAUCUCUGGGGUUAAUGAGCAGCUGGGCCCUUUCCAUGCCUGUUAUUCCACACCUGGGACCUUCACCAGAGACAGCGGGUGUCUUCGAUGAGGAAACGGCAGGCCAUCCUUCUUCGCUGGCAAUACCUUUGAGGAGAAAGUAGUCUCUGUGACGCAGGUGGAGACUUCCCCCCUUCUCCUCAGGGAAAUUCCAAAGUAUUAGAAGAUUAAAGACUAGCACCAAGCGGGGUUCUCUCUUUGACAGAAUCAGUAGGACUGGAAGGAAUGAAAAGAAAAUAAAUGCUCACUAUAUGAUUCAAUAUUAU